CUCUUCUACAACACCACAAUAAUCAGGUAUAAAACAAAUGUGCAUGCAGCUGAGGUCAUACUUUUAUAGAAGGGCCCUGUGAGUGAGCUCCUUUUUUCCACAGUAGAGAAAGGAAAAAAAAGCAUGUCGCUCCAGUAAGUUUAAUCCAGAUGCUUCCACAGAUGCUUUAGCCACCCCCAUGUGUCCAGUGAGUGAGGGGAAUGGGGGGUUUGGGUAUCCUAUUCUACUAUCCAUAAUGGAAUGUUCCAGUGAGGUUUAUCAUAAUGAGGUCUGUGAGUCAGGAGGAACCAAUUUCUAUUUUCUUUCCUUUGGAAAAAGUAAUGAACAUGGGAAAGUUACUGGUAACACAGGCUAACUUACAUUUUGUGAAUUUUAAGCAUCAAAUAAAGUAUCAAAUAAAUAACAGUGAAAAUAUAAUUCUGAGCUCGACUCCUGUGUACUUUUUCAAUAUAAAAAUUAUGUUUUUUUUAGGGAGGUAGUUGGAACCGCCAGAUCUCCUUGUGUCAUCACUGCAUCUCAGUGCUAGAAGCGUCACUACAGACCCUGGUUCGAUUCCAGGCUGUAUCACAACCGGCAGUGAUUGGGAGUCCAUAGGGCGAGGCUAAAUUGGCCCAGUGUCGUCCGGGUUAGUGUUUCGCCGGGAGUAUCCUCCCUCAAGACAGGCCUGCUGCUGCAUGUCUCUACAAAGACAAUGUAUGUAAACCAGUCCUAAAACUGAGCAUGAUUGCCGCUGCAGUGGAGCUGAUUGACGGAUGAAUUUAACGGAUGGAUGGAGAAGGAAGGCAGAGCCUCAGGGAAGGUUACAUUACAAAGAGCUGAUAGGACCUGAGCCCAAAGACCGUGCCCCAGGACGACCUGACAUGAUGACUCCUUGCUGUCCCCAGUCCACCUGACUGUGCUGCUGCUCCAGUUUCAACUGUUCUGCCUUACUAUUAUUCGACCAUGCUGGUCAUUUAUAAACAUUUGAACAUCUUGGCCAUGUUCUGUUAUAAUCUCCACCCGGCACAGCCAGAAGAGGACUGGCCACCCCACAUAGCCUGGUUCCUCUCUAGGUUUCUUCCUAGGUUUUGGCCUUUCUAGGGAGUUUUUCCUAGCCACCGUGCUUCUACACCUGCAUUGUUGUUUGCUGUUUGGGGUUUUAGGCUGGGUUUCUGUACAACACUUUGAGAUAUCAGCUGAUGUAAGAAGGGCUUUAUAAAUACAUUUGGUUUGAUUUGAACAGCCCUGUUCCAUUUAAAUGAACGUUGCAUCGUGUUUUUUAACUGGUCGUUCUGAACAGCCCUGUUCCAUUUAAAUGAAUGUUGCAUCGUGUUUUUUAACUGGUCGUUCUGAACAGCCCUGUUCCGUUUAAAUGAACGUUGCAUCGUGUUUUUUAACUGGUCGUUCUGAACAGCCCUGUUCCGUUUAAAUGAACGUUGCAUCGUGUUUUUAACUGGUCGUUCUGAACAGCCC